AGAGGUGAGAGCGAUCUGGCUGCGACAUCUGUCACCCCAUUGAUCGCCAGGGUGGAUUCGGCUGAUCUGGCUGGCUAGGCAGGUGUCCCCUUCCUCCCUCACCGCUCCAUGUGCAUCCCUCCCGAAGCUGUGCGCUCAGUCGAAGAGGACGACCAUCCCCGAUAGGGGAGGACCGCUCUUCAGUCAAGGGUAUACGAGUAGCUGUGCUCCCCUGCUAGAACCUCCAAACAAGCUCUCAAGGUCCAUUUGUAGGAGGAUGUAGGGUAGUCAAAAAAAAAAAAAGAAAAAGUCAAAGAGAAAAUU
rnacentral:snRNA from 1 species